rnacentral:rRNA from 1 species
GAUGAACGCUGGCGGCGUGCCUAAUACAUGCAAGUCGAACGAACUAAUUUAUUAGUGAGUGGCGAACGGGUGAGUAAUACAUAAGUAACCUGCCCUAGACAGGGGGAUAACUACUGGAAACGGUAGCUAAAACCGCAUAGGUAUGGGAAUCGCAUGAUUGCCAUAUUAAAAGUGCUAAGGCACUGGUAGAGGAUGGACUUAUGGCGCAUUAGCUAGUUGGUAGGGUAAAGGCUUACCAAGGCGACGAUGCGUAGCCGACCUGAGAGGGUGACCGGCCACAUUGGGACUGAGACACGGCCCAAACUCCUACGGGAGGCAGCAGUGGGGAAUAUUGCACAAUGGGCGCAAGCCUGAUGCAGCAACGCCGCGUGAGCGAAGAAGGCCUUUGGGUCGUAAAGCUCUGUCCUUGGGGAAGAAACAAAUGACGGUACCCUUGGAGGAAGCCCCGGCUAACUACGUGCCAGCCGCCGCUGUAACAC